rnacentral:rRNA from 1 species
UACGGAGGGUGCAAACGUUGCUCGGAAUCAUUGGGCGUAAAGCGCACGUAGGCGGCCUGUUAAGUCGGGUGUGAAAGCCCUGGGCUCAACCCCAGGAAGUGCACUCGAAACUGGCAGGCUUGAAUAUGGAAGAGGGUCGCGGAAUUCCCGGUGUAGAGGUGAAAAUUCGUAGAUAUCGGGAGGAACACCGGUGGCGAAGGCGGCGACCUGGGGUAGAUACUGACGCUGAGGUGCGAAAGCGUGGGGGAGCAAAACAGG